rnacentral:rRNA from 1 species
UAGUUGGUGGGGUAAAGGCUCACCAAGACGAUGAUGCAUAGCCGAGUUGAGAGACUGACCGGCCACAUUGGGACUGAGACACGGCCCAAACUCCUACGGGAGGCUGCAGUAGGGAAUCUUCCACAAUGGGCGCAAGCCUGAUGGAGCAACGCCGCGUGUGUGAUGAAGGCUUUCGGGUCGUAAAGCACUGUUGUAUGGGAAGAAUGGUAAGGGUAGGAAAUGAUCUUUACGUGACGGUACCAUACCAGAAAGGGACGGCUAAAUACGUGCCAGCAGCCGCGGUAAUACGUAUGUCCCGAGCGUUAUCCGGAUUUAUUGGGCGUAAAGCGAGCGCAGACGGUUUGAUAAGUCUGAAGUGAAAGCCCACAGCUCAACUGUGGAAGUGCUUUGGAAACUGUCAAACUUGAGUGCAGUAGAGGUAAGUGGAACUCCAUGUGUAGCGGUGGAAUGCGUAGAUAUAUGGAAGAACACCAGUGGCGAAGGCGGCUUACUGGACUGCAACUGACGUUGAGGCUCGAAAGUGUGGGUAGCAAACAGGAUUAGAUACCCUGGUAGUCCACACCGUAAACGAUGAACACUAGGUGUUAGGGGGUUUCCGCCCCUUAGUGCCGAAGCUAACGCAUUAAGUGUUCCGCCUGGGGAGUACGACCGCAAGGUUGAAACUCAAAGGAAUUGACGGGGACCCGCACAAGCGGUGGAGCAUGUGGUUUAAUUCGAAGCAACGCGAAGAACCUUACCAGGUCUUGACAUCCUUUGAAGGUACAAGAGAUUGUGCUGUUUUCUUCGGAAACAAAGUGACAGGUGGUGCAUGGCCGUCGUCAGCUCGUGUCGUGAGAUGUUGGGUUAAGUCCCGCAACGAGCGCAACCCUUAUGUUUAGUUGCCAGCAUUCAGUUGGGCACUCUAGACAGACUGCCGGUGACAAACCGGAGGAAGGCGGGGACGACGUCAGGUCAUCAUGCCCCUUAUGACCUGGGCUACACACGUGCUACAAUGGCGUAUACAACGAGCAGCGAACUCGCGAGGGUAAGCGAAUCUCUUAAAGUACGUCUCAGUUCGGAUUGUAGUCUGCAACUCGACUACAUGAAGUCGGAAUCGCUAGUAAUCGCGGAUCAGCAUGCCGCGGUGAAUACGUUCCCGGGUCUUGUACACACCGCCCGUCACACCAUGGGAGUUUGU